rnacentral:lncRNA from 1 species
GAGGUAGAACAAUAUGCCCAACAAACAACAAAUAUCACCACAAAAUCAGCUUGUAAGGCGAGAUUUGCAUCCACUUAUAUACUAUGAAUUGGCCUUAUCUCUAGUCGACUGUGGGACUAGACAUUAAUGGAUGGUCCAAUAGCAGCCCAAUAGCGAGUGAAACAAUAUGGCCAACAAACAACAAAUAUCGCUAGGAUAGGCUUUAACGAUGG